GGGGGAAUCUUGCGCAAUGGGCGAAAGCCUGACGCAGCAACGCCGCGUGGGGGAUGACGGCCUUCGGUUGUAACCCUUCAGCAGGGACGAAUCUGACGGUACCUGCAGAAGAAGCCCCGGCCAACUACGUGCCAGCAGCCGCGGUAAUACGUAGGGGCAAGCGUUGUCCGGAUUUAUUGGGCGUAAAGAGCUCGUAGGCGGCUUAGCAAGUCGGGUGUGAAAACUCCAGGCUCAACCUGGAGACGCCACCCGAUACUGCUAUAGCUUGAGUCCGGUAGGGGACCACGGAAUUCCUGGUGUAGCGGUGAAAUGCGCAGAUAUCAGGAGGAACACCGGUGGCGAAGGCGGUGGUCUGGGCCGGCACUGACGCUGAGGAGCGAAAAGCGUGGGUAGCAAACA
rnacentral:rRNA from 1 species